rnacentral:rRNA from 1 species
CCUACGGGUGGCAGCAGUGGGGAAUAUUGGGCAAUGGGCGCAAGCCUGACCCAGCAACGCCGCGUGAAGGAAGAAGGCUUUCGGGUUGUAAACUUCUAUUAAGAGGGAAGAGCAGAAGACGGUACCUCUUGAAUAAGCCACGGCUAACUACGUGCCAGCAGCCGCGGUAAUACGUAGGUGGCAAGCGUUGUCCGGAUUUACUGGGUGUAAAGGGCGUGUAGCCGGGCUGACAAGUCAGAUGUGAAAUUCCGGGGCUCAACCCCGGAACUGCAUUGGAAACUGUUGGUCUGGAGUAUCGGAGAGGCAGGCGGAAUUCCUAGUGUAGCGGUGAAAUGCGUAGAUAUUAGGAGGAACACCAGUGGCGAAGGCGGCCUGCUGGACGACAACUGACGGUGAGGCGCGAAAGCGUGGGGAGCAAACAGGAUUAGAUACCCGGGUAGUC